AUUGAACGCUGGCGGCAUGCCUAACACAUGCAAGUCGGGCGAGAGGCGGAGGGGCGAGUAAUGUAUGGGGAUCUGCCUGAUGGCGGGGGAUAACUACUGGAACAGGUAGCUAAUACCGCAUACCCUCCGAUGAACUCAUAUGGGAUUAGCUAGUAGGUGAGGUAACGGCUUACCUAGGCGACGAUCCCUAGCUGGUCUGAGAGGAUGAUCAGCCACACUGGGACUGAGACACGGCCCAGACUCCUACGGGAGGCAGCAGUGGGGAAUAUUGCACAAUGGGCGCAAGCCUGAUGCAGCCAUGCCGCGUGUAUGAAGAAGGCCUUCGGGUUGUAAAGUACUUUCAUUCGGGAGGCGUUACCGACAGAAGAAGCACCGGCUAACUCCGUGCCAGCAGCCGCGGUAAUUC
rnacentral:rRNA from 1 species